rnacentral:rRNA from 1 species
UGUUGCUAGUUAUCCUUCUUGUCAAAGUCUGAGCUCGUCAGAUCUCAGAAGCUAAACAAGGGUGGGCCUAGUACUUGGAUGAGAGACUGCAGGGAAUACCAGGUGCCACAGUGACAA